GAGUUUGAUCGUGGCUCAGGAUGAACGCCGGCGGUGUGCCUAAUACAUGCAAGUCGUACGCACUGGCCCAACUGAUUGAUGGUGCUUGCACCUGAUUGACGAUGGAUCACCAGUGAGUGGCGGACGGGUGAGUAACACGUAGGUAACCUGCCCCGGAGCGGGGGAUAACAUUUGGAAACAGAUGCUAAUACCGCAUAACAACAAAGGCCACAUGGCUUUUGUUUGAAAGAUGGCUUUGGCCAUCACUCUGGGAUGGACCUGCGGUGCAUUAGCUAGUUGGUAAGGUAACGGCUUACCAAGGCGAUGAUGCAUAGCCGAGUUGAGAGACUGAUCGGCCACAAUGGAACUGAGACACGGUCCAUACUCCUACGGGAGGCAGCAGUAGGGAAUCUUCACAAUGGGCGCAAGCCUGAUGGAGCAACACCGCGUGAGUGAAGAAGGUUUCGGCUCGUAAAGCUCUGUUGUUGGAGAAGAACGUGCGUGAGAGU
rnacentral:rRNA from 1 species